GGUUGUGUAGUGUAGCGGUUAUCACACCAGAUUCUGAUACAAGGAUUUCUGGUGACCCCGGUUCGAUUCCGGGCACGACCU